AGUCCAUUUGGAAAAAUCUGAUAAAAUUGGAACGAUAUAUAGAGAAGAUAAGCAUGGCACGUUACAAGGACGACACGCAUAAAACGAGAAAUAGAUAAUUUACAU